rnacentral:lncRNA from 1 species
UCUUUUCUCCAUGGAAGCUGUGAUCAUAACGACCGAAGAUGAAUCUGAUAGCUUUUUUCUGGAUUGAUUCUAGCUGCGUUAUGUCACACGUGAGGUGAGGAGACCAUACAGUUGAAGCGUAAUCUAGUAUCGGACGAACUAGUGAUUUGUAGGCAGUCAGCUUACAUUCCAAUGUUGCAUUUUUUAAAGUUCGCUUUAUGUAACCAAGUUUUCGAAGCGCUUUUGCAGAGAUAUGAUUGAUAUGGGCGUGCCAUUUUAGGUUAUGUGAAAAAAUGACACCCAGAUAUUUGAACUCACUAACUUGGGACAAGUAACUACCAUUGGCAUUGUAAGAGUAAUUCAGCUGCUUCUUUUUGUUACCGAAAGUCAUAGCGACUGUUUUGGUAAAAUUCAUUUUCAUUUGCCACCUAUCACUCCAUUCGCAGAACAUUGAAAAUACCUUGUUUAAUUCUUGUUGAUCCCUAGCAUCAGUAACAGUGCGGUAGAGGACACAGUCAUCUGCAUAUAGACGCAACUUAACGUUGGUGCUAUUAAUAACACUUACUACAUCAUUAAUGAAAAUGACAAAUAACAGAGGUCCGAGCACUGAACCCUGAGGUACUCCAGAUGUGACUGUUACCGAUGAAGAAUGCGUGCGAUUAAAAGUAACGAACUGAGAUCUUAAGUGUAGAUAGUCAGUGAUCCAGUCUAUUAAUUUAGACCCUUUUAAUAU